rnacentral:sRNA from 1 species
GAGAGUGACAUCAACCUGUGGAUUAGAUCACCAAAAAAGCAACCAUCUUAUUCCAAUGGAAAGAAAUUCCCUGAGUUAAAAAUGAUCAAAAAUGAAUCAGAUUAUGUCAUUUUCCGAGGACAUAAUCUUGGUUAUGUCAUUGUCCGAGAACUUGGGAAGGUGUAGUGGAGCUGCAGCCACUGGCUGAGCACUGAUGAAUCUGCCUGUACUUCUUUGAAUCAGCUGUCCCACCUAUUACAAGCUCCAAAUGAAUUUCUCAUGUGUAUAUGAAUUGUAGAACUCCAGCUUCUAAAAGAGUUCUAAAUUCAUGUGAAUGGCCGCCAUUGUUCUUAAUCACCAUGAAUUUGACUUUAUGAAUAUGAUCUGAGGGAAGAAACAUUAGCUUCAUUAUUGCUUCUUAACAAUGAUGAUAUAAUGAUAAUAACAUUGGAUAGCAUCUAUUUCCAAACUUCUUAGCAGCUAUCAUCAGUACCGUGGAGGGAAAUUUUAUUUUUUAAAUCAUUCUAUCACACACUUGUAUUCAUUACAUUUCAUAUAUUGAGCUCUCUGUAAUAUUGUCUGCUUUAUAAACAAUACACUUAUUAAAAAGAAAAUUGUUAAAUAA